rnacentral:rRNA from 1 species
AUGCACGCUGGCGGCGUGCCUAAUACAUGCCAGUCGAGCGAACAGAUGAGGAGCUUGCUCCUCUGACGUUAGCGGCGGACGGGUGAGUAACACGUGGAUAACCUACCUAUAAGACUGGGAUAACUUCGGGAAACCGGAGCUAAUACCGGAUAAUAUAUUUAACCGCAUGGUUCAAUAGUGAAAGACGGUUUUGCUGUCACUUAUAGAUGGAUCCGCGCCGCAUUAGCUAGUUGGUAAGGUAACGGCUUACCAAGGCAACGAUGCGUAGCCGACCUGAGAGGGUGAUCGGCCACACUGGAACUGAGACACGGUCCAGACUCCUACGGGAGGCAGCAGUAGGGAAUCUUCCGCAAUGGGCGAAAGCCUGACGGAGCAACGCCGCGUGAGUGAUGAAGGUCUUCGGAUCGUAAAACUCUGUUAUUAGGGAAGAACAAAUGUGUAAGUAACUAUGCACGUCUUGACGGUACCUAAUCAGAAAGCCACGGCUAACUACGUG